AACGAACGCUGGCGGCAGGCUUAACACAUGCAAGUCGAGCGCCCCGCAAGGGGAGCGGCAGACGGGUGAGUAACGCGUGGGAAUCUACCCAUCCCUACGGAACAACUCCGGGAAACUGGAGCUAAUACCGUAUACGUCCUUCGGGAGAAAGAUUUAUCGGGGAUGGAUGAGCCCGCGUUGGAUUAGCUAGUUGGUGGGGUAAUGGCCCACCAAGGCGACGAUCCAUAGCUGGUCUGAGAGGAUGAUCAGCCACACUGGGACUGAGACACGGCCCAGACUCCUACGGGAGGCAGCAGUGGGGAAUAUUGGACAAUGGGCGAAAGCCUGAUCCAGCCAUGCCGCGUGAGUGAUGAAGGCCCUAGGGUUGUAAAGCUCUUUCACCGGUGAAGAUAAUGACGGUAACCGGAGAAGAAGCCCCGGCUAACUUCGUGCCAGCCGCCGCAGUAAUAC
rnacentral:rRNA from 1 species